AGCAUUGUUACAGUUGCAAUCAAAGAAGCUUGAGGGCUUCAUCAAUGGGGACAUAACUGAACCCAAAGAUAAGUUGAGCAGUGAGUAGAAAAAUUGGAAUGCCACUAAUGCUUUAAAAGGUUACUUGGUUAUUUAAUUCUAUGACCCCGACAAUGCUGGUUCUGUUGACACUAUCACUUCUGCCUCAGAGAUAUGGAAGGCUCUUGCAAGCAUGUAUUCAUGUGUUGGGAAUGUGAUGCUAUUAGCAGAUACAGAUGAUAAGAUACAUUAUCUGAAACAGGGGGAGCGGACUUUGAUGGAUGAUGUUGCAGAACUGAAGCGACAGUGGGCUGACUUAGAUCAUUAUGAUCCUAUUGAAUUACCUCACCCAGAAUGUGUGGCUUGGGUGAAAAAGUGGGUAAAGAAAAAAAAAGGGUUCUUCAGUUUUUGAGGGGUAAAACCCAGGUUUUGAAGGAAGAUGUGCUGCAUUAUUCCAUCAAGCUAAUCUUCCUAGUCUUGAAGAAGCUAUUGCUGCUAUGGCACAGGAGGAGACAAGACUCAAGGUGAUAAAAGGUAACACCUUAAAUUCACCAAGUCCAGCUUAUGUGGUAGCAGGGUCCCAAGAGACUAGAAUCUGUUAUAAUUGUGGUGAAAAUGGGCAUUUGAUUCGUGAUUGCAGUCAGCCACAUAAACCAAAUCGUGGUAGGGGUCAGAGGCAGAGGUAUGCAGAGAGGUGGUACUAGCCGAGGAGGUGCUAGUCGUGGUGGAAGAGUAAGCUUUAGAGCUAAUCAUGCAGUGUGAGAUGGGUGUAAUGCAGAAUCAGUUGAAAUUUCACCAAAUGAGUUGGAUGAGUUCAAAAGGCGGAAGGAAAUCAUAAAGGAUUCUCAAUUGAACAAUCAAGAAACAACAUCCUUGAGUAAUUUUGUUGCUGAUGCGGUUCACUCAGACUCAGGUACAUUCAACCAAAACCACACAUUUGAUUGGAUAUUAGAUUCAGGUGCAUCGAGGCACGUCACGGGAAAGGAGGACGGGAAGAAAUCUUGGAGUUGGAACUUGGCAUGAUGGGCUCUGGUAUCUUUAUAAAAGCAAGACAAGAGAAGAAAUAUAUUUUGCUCUAUCAGCUAGUGAAGAUGAAGCUAAGGUGAUGUGUUGUUGCAUUGUCGUCUGGGACAUAUAUCUUUUAAUAUCGUGAGCAAAAUGUUUUCUCACGAAAUGUCUAAGGUGAAUAAAAGUAAGUUAAUGUGUGAUGCAUGUGAGUACAGGAAGCACACUAGAAGCUCAUAUGUGAGUAGGGGUUCAAGAAGUUUAUCAACUUUUAUAUUAAUCCAUUCAGAUGUGUGGACUUUCCCGUCACUGCUAUAAGUGGGGAAAAAUAUUUUGUUACUUUUAUUGAUUUUUAUUCUCCUAUGACAUGGGUAUAUUUAAUGAAGUAUAAAAGUGAGGUACUUGAA